GAUGAAGAACGCAGCGAAAUGCGAUAAGUAAUGCGAAUUGCAGAAUUCAGUGAGUCAUCGAAUCUUUGAACGCACAUUGCGCCCUUUGGCAUUCCGAAGGGCAUGCCUGUUCGAGCGUCAUUACAGCUCUCAAGCACUGCUUGGUGUUGGGCGUCUGUCCCCGCGUUGCGCGGCGGACUCGUCUGAAAAGCAUCGGCGUCCGGCGGUGGGUCUUGCGCGUAGCAGAUUGUUCGCACAAGGGCCCGCUCGCGGGAUUGCCGCACACGUCAAUUAUAUCAGUUUGACCUCGGAUCAGGUAGGGAUACCCGCUGAACUUAAGCAUAUCAAUAAGCGGGAGGA
rnacentral:misc_RNA from 1 species